rnacentral:rRNA from 1 species
UACAACUUUCAGCAACGGAUCUCUUGGCUCUCGCAUCGAUGAAGAACGCAGCGAAAUGCGAUAAGUAAUGUGAAUUGCAGAAUUCAGUGAAUCAUCGAAUCUUUGAACGCACCUUGCGCCCCUUGGUAUUCCGAGGGGCAUGCCUGUUUGAGUGUCAUUAAAUUCUCAAC